UUUAUUCCACUGAAUUGGUGGCGAGAGAAAGGAAGAAAAAGAAGAGCAUCACCGAGGAGCACCUUGAAACCACCUGCAGCCAAAGUACUAGUUGAGGUCCACCUUCAGCCAGAGAGAACCUAUUUGACAGAAUCCUGAUUGGAGAGAGAUCAUAAAAACUCAUGAAAGACUUGAUUAGAAAGAAAAUAAACUUUAAAACAGCUGAGGUCCAUUGCAAACUCUGUCUUCAUUGCCAGGAAUCAUGCACGCAUUAUCAGCACCAAUGAUGUAGAUUUCUUCAUUGCCACU